GAUGAACGCUGGCGGCGUGCCUAAUACAUGCAAGUCGAGCGAACAGACGAGGAGCUUGCUCCUUCGACGUUAGCGGCGGACGGGUGAGUAACACGUAGGUAACCUACCUAUAAGACUGGGAUAACUUCGGGAAACCGGAGCUAAUACCGGAUAAUAUUUCGAACCGCAUGGUUCGAUAGUGAAAGAUGGCUUUGCUAUCACUUAUAGAUGGACCUGCGCCGUAUUAGCUAGUUGGUAAGGUAACGGCUUACCAAGGCAACGAUACGUAGCCGACCUGAGAGGGUGAUCGGCCACACUGGAACUGAGACACGGUCCAGACUCCUACGGGAGGCAGCAGUAGGGAAUCUUCCGCAAAGGGCGAAAGCCUGACGGAGCAACGCCGCGUGAGUGAUGAAGGUCUUCGGAUCGUAAAACUCUGUUAUUAGGGAAGAACAAACGUGUAAGUAACUGUGCACGUCCUGACGGUACCUAAUCAGAAAGCCACGGCUAACUACGUG
rnacentral:rRNA from 1 species